AAGAAUUUAAGUUAAUUAAACUUUUAACCUUCAAAGUUAACUAUAGAUACUAUUUCUAAUUCUUA
rnacentral:tRNA from 1 species